rnacentral:rRNA from 1 species
UACGGGGGGGGCAAGCGUUGUUCGGAAUUACUGGGCGUAAAGGGCUCGUAGGCGGCCAACUAAGUCGGACGUGAAAUCCCUCGGCUUAACCGGGGAACUGCGUCCGAUACUGGAUGGCUUGAGUUCGGGAGAGGGAUGCGGAAUUCCAGGUGUAGCGGUGAAAUGCGUAGAUAUCUGGAGGAACACCGGUGGCGAAGGCGGCAUCCUGGACCAAUAUUGACGCUGAGGAGCGAAAGCCAGGGGAGCAAACGGG